rnacentral:lncRNA from 1 species
UGGUCUUGGUAACCUUGCUAGCCUCUUCGUGAAACUGUAGAAGCAUAACUCCUAACAGAUAUUUUUACCUCCUGAUGCUUUCAGCCUCCUGUCUCACAGCAGUGUAGCUUCAGUUCUGGAAGGCUCAAGAUAUGAAGUCUCUAACAGUCCCUGUUCUUCCACAUUGCUGGAAUGAGAAAGGUAUUCAGCAACGACACAGAGAUUGUUUUCCUUUAUGCAUGCCAGAAAUGGUGUCAACCAGCAGAGGAGACUGAGGUGAUACCUGCAUCUUCUUCAGUUACUGGUGGCUUCAUGCAAGGUCUCUGA